UAACCAUGAUGUGGGCAAGCAUUCAAUAAAUCUUUAAACCUCUCCCAGCUUUGAUAAAAAGUUUCACCAUCUUUUUGCCCAAAAUUCAUAAUCUGCCUUUUCAAGGCA